rnacentral:rRNA from 1 species
AUUGAACGCUGGCGGCAUGCUUUACACAUGCAAGUCGAACGGUAGAGGGGGCAACCCCUUGAGAGUGGCGAACGGGUGAGUAAUGCAUCGGAACGUGCCCAGUAGUGGGGGAUAGCCCGGCGAAAGCCGGAUUAAUACCGCAUGAGACCUAAGGGUGAAAGAGGGGGAUCGCAAGACCUCUCGCUACUGGAGCGGCCGAUGUCAGAUUAGGUAGUUGGUGGGGUAAAGGACUACCAAGCCUGCGAUCUGUAGCAGGUCUGAGAGGACCAACGGCCACAAUGGGACUGAGGAAGGGCCCAGACUCCAACGGGAGGCAGCAGUGGGGAAUUUUGGACAAUGGGCGCAAGGCUGAUCCAGCCAUGCCGCGUGCGGGAAGAAUGCCUUCGGGUUGUAAACCGCUUUUGUCAGGGAAGAAAUCUUUUGGGCUAAUACCCCGAGAGGAUGACGGUACCUGAAGAAUAAGCACCGGCUAACUACGUGCCAGCAGCCGCCGUAACAC